AUUCCUCAGCAAUACUAAGUGACUAAAGGAGGAAGCUUGGCAAGUUGCUACAUGGUCUGCCAGGAGGGAGAGGUCAUUUGGUUUAUGCUGGAGAGGAGCAGCAGCCAGUUCAGCUACAAGGUUUGCUCUGGAAUGAUGUGAACCUGGUGGGAGGGACGGAGGUUUGCUGAGACGAAGGGAGCAGCCUUGGAGACCAGCCACGCCAGCAAAUGUCAUCCCAAAGAGAACAGGACUCACAGGCCUGCAGAACCAUUUGCUUCAGUCUGCUUGAAUUCAGCAUGCCAAAAUAUUAAAAAAAGUUAAUCUGAGGGGCAAGUGAGCUUUGUUGCAUCCAAAGUGAAAAACCCAGGCACAGAGACAAACUGAAUAUGCUGCAUAGUAAAUUUGGGGUUUUCUCCUUCCCUUAAGCCAAGUAAAAGGUAAUUCUCUACUUGUGACAUGGAUUUCAGACUCAUUAUCUUCAGAUUUCAACCUCCAUUCAGAAGUACUGAUAGACAGGAGCUUACAGUUAGGGUUUUGCCCUCUUCUUCAGGCUCAGUGGAAAAUCUUUGCAACUGUAUCACCUUUCUGCAAGAUAAAAAUGCAAAUUUGUCAAUGAAGAUACCAUUGGACACAAUUCAGUUGCCUACAGAUAGCCCUGUGCCAUUUAAGAUCCCUAGUCUUUCCCACUUGGUCUCCAGCUUUUGCUCCAGAAGGACAUGGGUCUCCUGUAGACCCUAUGUAACACACCUUCCAUCCCCACAUUGAUGUUUCAGAUCCUACUUAGGCAUCACCAUCAGUGCAGGAGUAAUCAGUCUUCAGUUAUUGCUGCAAAAUCCAUUUACUGAUCCUCUGUCAAGAAAUCAGAUACUGCUGAUCACUCCAUUGGAAAACUGUCUUUCAUAAGUCAUCUGAGGGAGAAGGAUUUUAUGAGCAGCUAGUCUUCCUGUGAGCAUUAUGUCAAGCCCUCAUUUAUAAUCUUACGCCUGUGAGGCUUCUUCCUUGAUUUUUCUGCAUUUGCCUAAAAUAAGCCUUGCUAGCUACUGCUUACUGCUAGAGAUACAGUUAACUGCAGUGCAAAACUUCUUCAUAGCCGGAUUUUGUUCCAGAACAAAUGAUGAGUGUUGUGUUUGUUACACCGCCACCCAGAAAAUGCUAUUUAGGUUGAUGAAUCUGGAAUGUUUGCCUGUGGUUUACAUUAUUUUUCCCCCUUUGGGGGAAAAAAAUAAUCUAAAGGCAGCUAGUAAUCUAUCAUCUCAAUGUCACUGACUGAAAAUUUCCAGAAAUAACAGAGGUAAGCCACUUAAGUAACACAGUAAAAGUGCAGAAUGAUGACAGCAUAAUAAAGAAAUCAAUUCCCCAAAACAAACAAAAAAACCCACAAAGCAUUCAGAGAGGAUUUUAAUAAUGUCCCAUUUUCAUAAUUAUAAUGAAAUUACAUGUUUCUAAUGUAGAUUCUUACUUUACUGCUAAGCCUCUAGAUUCUUGUUUUAGUAGAAGUUUUUAGGAUUUAAAUAAAAUCUUAACUGUUUAGCCUACCACCUAAAACAGGCACGCAGAGGUGAAUGCUGGAAUCUAUGCUUUGCUCUCAGUUGCAUUAGCUUGUAACGCUUCGUGUUUUCAUUUUAAAAUGAUUGCAUAGGAAAUCCUGGUCCUCAGGUAAGAACACGUGCAGCACAUAAUCUUGACCGGAUAGUGACAGGAAUAGCCCAGAAACACAGAAUAUUCCAUUAACACGCAGAGCAUUGCCUCUUCAACUAAAACGCAUGCUGUCGUAUCAUCUGCUCCUGCACUGGUAACUGUUACGGCAGAAACCUGCUCUGUCGUGGAGCCCUGCAGGCUCCGCAGCACCUCACAGCACUGCUUCUGCUACGGUGGGGGAACCUCCUCAACACCCAGUCCAGAGGCGAUGUGUUUGGCCUCCCUGCCCACCCUUUCUGUAGACCUUAACCCUUUCUUCUGGACGUUCAAAUGUUCCUGGAUUAGUUUUCGUGGGAAAGUACUCUCUUGGCAUCUUUCAGUUCUAUUCUUUUCACGACCUGUUCUUGCACGAUUUAGGACUAAAAUCCCAUUGCAAUAAGGCAAUUAUUUACUGUCGUCCUAUUGCAACAGCUGAAGCACAGAACAGUUCCUGACACACCAAGAACCUCCCAGCUAAUAGUGACUACUUCUUCACCUGUAAUUUACUUGCUUUCUUCUCAGAAGCCUGAGACUCCAAACGUGUGAGGACAAGAAGAGAUUUCAUACAAGAAUCCACUGCAAUCCUGUGAGCUGCAAACUGACAGUUCCUCUGCUUGUCUUUUGUCUAUACUUUGGCUCUUUACUUUGGCUUUUUGCUUUUUUUUCUCUAUACUUUGGCUCUCUGUGACAAAGAAGGGUUUCCUAUAUGAGCUCCUAAGAAGUUCAAGUCAGUCAACACACAAACUAUUCUGAACAAUAAGCAAAACAGACUCUAAAUCACAUGUCCUUAGAUUGAAAAAUCACUGCUUUCCAGGAUACAAGCAGCUUGGUCAUAAUCAUACCUUCCUGCUCUUACUGGUAUAGGACUGGCUAGGCAGGAGGAGGGUCUCCAGAUUUAAAGGAGGCUGCAAACCUUUGUUUUAAACAAAACAAAUCUAUCUAUAGUCGUCAUACCACCAGUUCCCUCAGAGGAAAUCAGACCCACUUUCAAAGGGCUAAAGACUCCUGAUUUACUUUUUCAUGAUCUCUGCACUUCUCUCUCUGUUCUUCCCAGGUAUGUUAAAAUCUUCAUUGGAUUUUAAAGUACAUAUAUUCAAAAAUCUGUUUUUGACCUGGCCUAAACCAUCUGUUUCAAGCACAGCACCUGAGUUCUAGCUCCAAAGGUCAUCUCUGCUCCUGGACGACUGCUUAGCGGACUGGGUUUGGGAGAGGAUCACAGGAUUUACUUUCUUUUAUUCGUAGGACUUCAUUUCAGGCCUUUUCAGGUCAGCAGCACUUCUGACAGCUCUAUGGAGACUCACAAGAGGGAAUGUGGCUUGCUUAUUCCACUUACCAUGGGUUGAUAAUCACAUUAAAAAGCCCAAUAGAGCAAUAAUUAGCAGUAAUGAUUAACGUCGCAGAAGCCAUAGCUAAGGCUGAAAUGGCUGAUGACUGAACUCCCUGUAUUUUAUCAUGCUGUGUCAAGGUUCAGCCAUGCUGUUGUCCCUGCUCCAUCGGCUGACUUCAACGCAUUUCGUAUGCCCUGUCUGCCCACACAGUUCCUUUUCAAUCCCUCAUUCCAGGACUGACAGGCUAAAUAGCCACUUUUAAAAAUGGAGGGAACAUGUAGAGAGACCUAUUUUCUAGAAUGUGUUAUAUAUAAAAAUGUCAGUGUCAGCUGGCAGGCAACCUUUCCUUUCAGAAAUAUAGCUUUGCAAACUAAAACCCAGCUGAGAUGAAAAACAACUUUACACAAAGGCUUCUCUGCCUGUCAUUAUCUAUACUUGCAAAGUAGUGAGGGUUGCACCACACCUCAUGCAGAUCUGCCAAAAGAAAAGAAGGAAAGAAAAAAAAAGAAAAAGGCCUGAUUCAUUAGUACCUGAGCUGCUCAUAAGAAUUAACUGAUGCCAGAGAAAGUUGUUAAGGAAAAUUUCUGCUCUUUGAAGCAUUAGAACAACAAAUCUGCCAGACUUGUAACUGUUGUGGGGGUGCAACGGACAGUACAUCCCAUUCAGGCUUCUAGUGGCACUGGUCUUGGAGAUAUGUGCAUGGCUGCUCAGGCCUCAAAAUGUAGAUACUACUUCUCCUGCUGCACUGCUAGAGGAUUUGUGCAUUUGGACUCUCAGUUCUUUGGCCUUCAUGAUCUAUGAGGGGGGAGGAUCCGUUUUACGGCCUUUCUGAAUAGGUCUACGAGAGGUGACAGAACUGUGUUGUAGAAGUCCUGCAGUCAUAGAACAGGUACAUCUCAGUGCUGGGGACUGGGUGAAUUUAGCCCUACCAGUACCCUGGGCCUUCAUAUACCUUCUUCAUAAUGCAGGAUAAACUCACGCAUCAGGAUAUGUAAAUAGUCAGAAGCUGAGACACCAAGCUACUCCGCUUUUCCUGAAGAUCCCGUGCAGUGCUUUUGCCUCUCUUUCCAUUCCUGGGAAUCUACACGCUAUGUACAGCUAGUCUCUAAAUCCUUCAUCUGCCAAGAAGCUGCAGAAAGCACAACGGCUCCCUGACGGACACCACUGUGAACUGCUGGUGCGCGAGAUGCUGAGCAAAAGCAAGAGAAUGGCAGAAUGUCCCACUUAGGUGUUUCUCCCAUGCUGGGCAUGGCCUUAUAACAUGGUACUCUACUAAGUGUAAUGUAUCUGAAGGUCGGAGUUUGGGGGGCCGGGGUUCAUCCUUAGCACCCCACCUUCUGGUAUUUAUUUAUUUGGCAAUUAUUUUGUAUCAUGAAUGUAAGCAGGAAUAAAUGUAAGCUUUUCUCUGUUGUUUAAACUUAAUGUGAUCCUAGGACCACAAGAACAUGUGGUCAGUUUAGUCCGGGGAAGGACUGUUAUUCCAUCUAAUACUCCUUACCAAAUGUAUCUUUAUUGUCUUCUCAUUUGGAGGUCUCCACCUGGAGUAUGUGAUUCCUGUUGUUUUCAAGCAGAGGCUUGAAUUUUCAUGUCCUACUUUGUUUAAGAUUAGGAACUUUAACAUGAAGGCAUCCAUUAUCAGAAGCUAUUUAACAAAUACAAAAUGUAUAUUUAAUUCAAUGAUCAGGUUUAAAUCAAGCUCCAGUGGGUAGGAUGAGAACAUUGUUCCAUCACAAAAUGUAGGACAGAGGGUUGUGUGUUCUCUAUCUUUUUCUUAAAUAUUUUCAGCUCUGAAGUAAAGCUUUACAUAAAGCUUGUCAAGAAAAAGCUCUGAAUUUCUAUCCUGCUAAGCACACAAAGCACUGAUGAGUCACUGAAAAGCUUUUCCAAACUUAUCUGAACAUGUCUGAUGUGGGAUCUGGGUUGGGAUGGCAUAGGCACAAAUGCACGCAAAACACGUCCUGGAGUUCGUGGCUGUAAUCUAGCUGGAACAAUCUUAGAGCAGCUUUCCUUGAGGCUGUCUAGGGCUCCACCAGGCAGGAGCAAGCACAUAGAUUUGCAAACAUUAAAAAAAAAAAAAAAAUCAAUAAAAGCCAAGCCACUUCAAAUGCUUAGUGUCUUGGGGUUUGGCUCAUUUGUAUUUCUACCGAAGAAUCAUAAAAAUAUCACACCAUACAACUUCCAGCUCAGAGGCAAAACGUGCAAGGCAAGUCUCCAGCAGGAGAGAGCUUUCCCGGCUUGCAGGGCUCUGGCCUGGUUUUUCUGCCCUUCCUGGGAAAGUGAUGCCUCAGUGCUGUCUUGUGGCUCCCUCCACAGAGAGGGGACAUCCUGGCAGGAGACCAUGCCACUGAUUCCUUGUGUUUGCUUAGUGGUAUCGAACAAUUAUCUUACUUUUUAAUACCAAAAAAACAGAGCUCUGGAAAUGUCUGUGAUUAGAGUCUGUGUUCAGAUCCAGUGAAGAGCUGUGGCACAGGCAAUGCUACAGCUCACUAUACUGCAUUGAGUGUUGCAGCUGAGCUGCCUCCCUGAAUGAGGAACUUGGUGUAAAUCUGAAAUCAAUGAGUUUGGGCAGCCGCCCCGGGGAAACCCACUUUCAGGUAUCCAGUAAGAUAAGUGCAAACAUAUGCCUUCAUACUUUCUUUCUCCUGUCCUACUACAGGACUUCUCUCAGGGCUUUGCCAGCAGGCUCCGUUCACUCAGGACUGCAUCUUCUGCCACGCACAGGCACCUACAAAGGCCAUGAGUGGAGGGGACAGUCACAGCCAGCCUCUCACACAAGGACUUUGGAUAUCAUCUCUCACAAACAUACCAAAGUGUUGUAACAAAUAACCUGUAUUAGGAAUGAAGGAUGGGGAUGGGAAACUAGAACGCCCAUCCCCGUCUGCCUGCUUAGAGAUAAUCAAAAUUACAGAGUCCAACUCCUCUUUGCACCGUCUCCUCUCUGGACCAAUUAAUCCUGCAUGUUUUGCUGAAACUGCAAGACAGCACACUUCACCUCCCACAGGCUCAACUAGCCUGGGAUAGUCUAGGGCAGUGUUACUCUACCGUCAGGACAUUCAUCUGCUGGCAGAGGGAGGGAGGAAACACAUGAGUUUAAACCUUCUUUGAUGAAUAGCUUGUUGAACUCAGAUUUGUUGCUGUCAAAGACCUGCUUUAGUCCUCUAAAACUUUUAUUGCCUAAACUGGAACUGAAUGAAGACUUCUGAGGAUUUCGAAAUGUGUGAAGCUUUUCCCUACUUGGCUUGCACUCCUGUAUUGAGGUUCAGGUACCAGGCAGGGCAAGUCGAACUACUAAGGCUCCCAGUACAAAGCUAGGAAAUAUUUGACAUUUCAGAACAAAAGACAAAAGGACAGACUUCAAGGUGUUAUCCAGACUAAACUAAACUUGCUACAUCUUAAACUGUUUGUGUCUCUAGUGUCAUUAUGCAUAUUAGAACCUUCAUUUUUUAAACGAAAAUGAAACACCAUCACUCUUUGGUAAUGUCUGCUGGGAAGAUGAGUUUGAAAAAAGCUGCUGUCACAAGCAUUUCUAGGGAUUUAAUUGCCUGCUCCGGUGGCCAAUCCAAAGUCUUGAUUUCAUUUCCAGUAUUUUGUCAAGGUUGUAAUUAGUCUUAAACUUUGGAUGAAGAUCUGCAAAGCUGAGGUAAGCAAGUCGUUUGCAGCUGGGAGCACAGUUUUUCUGGGCAUCCCAUCCCAAUUCCUCCCAGGAACAUUGUCUAUACCAUAACUUACUGUAAUUUUCCCUCUAAAAAAAAAAAAAAAAUUACAAAGUCCUACCAUCUCUUAGUCACUAAAAUGCCCAAGUUUCUCUUCCCCUUUGCUACUUAACAGAGUCCUUCUAACAUCCAGUGCAGAUACAGCUUGAUUUUCUACCUCAAGAUGUUAAAAACUGUCCUUCACCUUCUUUCCUAAUCACUAACAUCUGUAACAUGCCCAUCUGUCCCAAAACUCCACAUGUGCACUGUAUUUUGAAGCUGUGAAUUUCUGUACAACUUAUUUCUGACAAACUCUGUCGCACUGUAGGGGGUAAACCUUGCUUAGUCCUGAAGUGCAUCUGUUUUAUGUCAAUAUGUUUACACAUCAAAUAAAACUGAAAUGCUACCUUACUUUGGAAAAUAUAUUUGAACUCAAUUUACAGGGGAAUAGCAAAGAUGAACAUUAGAGAACAAUCUCUGCACAGGUGUACCUUUUCCCCUCUGUGACAUGCUUGAGAUUGAGUAGUUUUUUGGAAAUGGUAUUUCUGGACAGGCUUGAUAUCUGGAAGUGGUGCUUCUUGUCAAAUAGUAACCAUUUAUUUCAGCUAUUCAAGAAAUGCAUUUCCCUUGCAGUGGGAGCCACAGUAAAAUGGCCUUCUGUGUCACCACCAGAAAAAAUGCUCUUUGUAAAGUUUAUUAUAACUAUUUAAAAAGCACAUUUAAAAUAAAGCAAAGAUCUAUGUAAUAGCAUUAACAUCACAAAAUGUAACUGAAUAGACUAAAAUGGUACAAAUAAAUUUGAUUCUGAUUUUUUUUCUUGU